GCUUAUUGAUUUUUCCCAGCUAGACUAGUGAGCCUAAUAACAUAGGUCUGCCUACAGACCUUAUUUUGGUCAUAUCCUUGGAUGCAUCAACAAUACUGUUUAUUUCUUCUGGUGUAAUUUAUGGCUGUCAGUGUUACGCAAAUAACCCAGCAAUGACGUGUAGCGAGAUGGAGAGAGUUAUGUUGGCCUGUCUGCAAUGUUCCUAAAUUUCAUCAGGGAAAAAUAAACAGAAAAAUCUCAGGCAACUGAUGUACUGGACGAGACUUCAAUGCAAAUGCAUCUUAUCAUUAUGAAGUUGCCGUAUACAGCCAUUUGUUCAUUCUGGGUCAAAUCUUUCUUUUUUUAUUCCUGUGUGUUCCUAAAUCAGAGAAAUUUGGUGUUCAUGGGUGUGUUAGUGGAGUUCCUGAGCAGUUUGCAGUUUCCCUGCAGUCCCGCAGGGUGACGGGUGCGGGACAGUGCGGAAGCAGACACUUGAGUCUUGUAACACCAUCAAUAGAAGUGCUAGUGAUGAGUGUAGGAUGCAGUGGCAGUCAUUAACGUUAAGCUGUUAAAUGAGACACUUGGACUGAGGUAAUUUGAGUUUCUGGCAGCCAACAGCCGUGGGAGUGACAGAUCCAAGUACCAGAAUGUUGCCUGUCAGUUUGCAGCUGUGUCAUAUUGGCAGUUCCAGCAUUGGGCUCUUUCAUCGUGCUGGCUGGGAGAAGAUGAUGGAAUGGUUUGGGUUGGAAGGGGCCUUAAAGAUCAGCUGGUUCCAGCCCCCUGGUGGUGGAUAUCGGCAUGUACCGUCCAGCAAUGCCUCUCCAGUGGGCAGGGAGCACGUCCUGUACGUCUGCAAAACAGCCACCUGUGUAGUCCUGCUUAGUGGUGGCUGAGACCAACAAGUGCAUUUCUCUCUUGCCUCCCUUGUGGGAGAGGCAGCGGGAAAGCAAGCACAUACUCUUUGCUCUCCUCUUUGUCUGGAUAACUUAGGAUCUCAGUCAGACUAAGGACACUGUUCUCCCAGUAUGGCCCUUGGUGCCCCAGGGCAGCAGGGAGCAGUGGUGAGGUGAGACUCCAACCUGCACAGCUCCUGCUGAAGCUCCCGAGGUCCUUUAUAAGCUCGGGACUUCUUUCUUGUCUGAGAGUAAUGUGGGUAAACUGGAAAGAAGAAACCCAGAAGGGGCCAAGCAUCUGAAAACACUGCUAGCACGUGGGGUGAUAGCAGGCUUCUGUGGGAAGGAACCGCGGCCACUGUCAUGCUGGUAAUUGGGUCCCUGCCUGGAAAAAAUACCAAGUGAGCAGGUCACCCGGGAUGCCAGCGCAGCAGCUCUGUGCCAAGGGCCACAUGUAGGCUGCGCACACAGCCUGGGAGUGCUCGCCUGCCCGAGUCGUGUCUUCUGCAGGUGUUGGCAUAACUUCCCUUCCCUGGAUUUGUUUCUGUUUACAUGGAUGUCUAAAGGCCCGCAUGGCUGGUAAGGAGCAGGAAUUAACUUUUCUUUAAAUGUCAUAGCACAAAACCAAAAGCCUGGUGAAGCUGAAGAAGCCAACCCUGAAGGUUUUCUUUUUCCUCCCUGCUAACUCAAAAGAUGUGGCCUUUUUGGGAAAAUAUAUGCUUAUGCAAUUUGUCCUCAUUUUGGUUCUUGAUAACCAGCACAACUCGGCCAGCAUUGAAUGGAUGGCUGCAAUUAACCCAUGUAAUAGUGUUUAUGGCUCCUUUUGAGAAAGGACUGUUAUUUCUUAGUCAGCGCAUAAGCCUUAUUUUAGGUAAUCAGAAGCCCCAUUUUAAGUGCCAAUGUGAUUUUAAAGGUACUUCAUGAACAUGACAGGAACUCAAAGCAAAGCCUUUGAGAUGCCAGAGGAGACCUGUUAAAAUUACCAGGCAGUUUACCAGUGCCUCAGCAAGGGCAUGUUUGAGAGCAGCAGGUUUUGUGACUUCUGUGAAGUCUUCUUCAAUUUGUGCUAUUCAGACAAACUCAGCAAGGCUGAAGCAUCACGUGCCCUACAUCUGAACCCGUGGUUUUGAAAGCUCGCAUUUUGAGGAAGGGGUUCAAAACAGAAGCCAGAGUUCAGCAACCCCACCCCCUUACACCACUGAAAGUAAGGGAUUGGGCUGCAUUUUCUCAUGCUCUUUGCUUCUCUUGAAGAGCUGAUCUGUCAUUGCUUAAGUGCACAAGCUGUCUUGAAAUAAUAAUAUGCUGCUCAACUACAAGAUGCCAAGAAGCCUGCUUCUUGCUGCUAAUGCAAUACCACAGUUGCUUGUCGGUGCCCUGCCCCAGGCACCACCGUCUGGGGGCUGUGGUGGGAGCUGGAGCCCCACAAUGAGCUCCACCAGAGACCCAAAGCCUGAGUGCUACCUGCGGAGGGAGGAAGGGCCUCCAUCCCUCUCAGGUUGGUGGAUGGGUGUUUGAACAAAGUUCUGCAUCUUAAACCGUGAAUUAUGGCUGCAUUGCAGGUCAACGUUAAUUGACCCCCCCACCACCCAUUUAUGAGACCUUGUUUAACACACCUUAUGCCUCUAAAUGGACUGGGGGGUGGGGGAUGGGGUGGUGGUGUGUGCUUUUAAACAUUUGAGCAAAUGUCUCCUUGUCACUUGAACCCUUGAUUUGAGUGUCAAGUGAUUAUUUGAGAAGCGAAAGAGUUUCAGUGUUUUCAGCAAAAAAAAAAAAAAAGUCAUACCUGCAUGAGACUUAAGAAAACCCAAAACCUAGCUUUUGUGGAAAUUACAAAAAUUAUGGAAGCUGGCUAAUAUGACCCUAGAGAGAGCAGGAAAACAUGAGCUCCAUUAUUACAAAGGAGUGUGUGUAGCUUAAAGAUGUGGUAAUGAGCACUGGUGUGGGUAGUACUGAAAGCAUAUGUUGUAGCACUGUUUAGCAUAUUUUAUGCUUUUCACGUUAUACCACUAUCCUGUGUUUAUACUUAAGCUUGCUAACCCUUUUGGCCUGCUCUCAAGAGUUGGAAAACGAUCAUGCAAACUGCUCACUUGUUUCAGUUUUUCUGCCCAGCUCUGUUAUAUGCCAAGCAACAGGCGUGAAGUGUUUGAUCCUCAAAAGUCUUACCCAGGAGCUUGGCUAGCAGAGAAAUGCUACUUCAAGGGCUGUGUUAAAGAAAUGCUUUGGAUUGGGGACAUUUUUAACUGAAAUGCAGACUUGGUGAAGGCUUCCAGGGAAGGGUGCUUUGCCUGAAGAGUCACCAUCAAAAACCUCGCCCAGCUUCUAAACCACAGAAUUCUUGAAAAGCCUAAUCAUGACAUACAUUUGUACUGAAAUUUGGUCUGAUGCAAACAAGGUCUAUCUGUAUUUGUGCCCCUACCUAGUUUGGUUAACAGCAGGUAUGCGAAAUGCUGGAUGGAAAUGCAUGUGUGAAAAUUCCCCAUCUGAGCUGAUCUCAGAGAUUUAAGUGGAAAAAAUUCCUGAAAACUAGAUUAAGAAACAGUGCCUAAGCAAAAUAAUGCAUCAUUUUGCUGGAGGAGGGAAAGCUGAGAGGGUUUCCCAGGAGCUAAACAUCAGACACAUGGAAGAUAUCGGGUUCUGGGAGUUGUGUCACUGAAAAUUAGACACCUACCAUCAGUCCAGAGUGCAACUCCUCAUCCUGCUCUGCAUCACAGGUUUCAGCGUGGCCAGCAGCCCUGUCUUAAAAACACCCGUGUUUCUCUAACACAACAUCUAUAAAUGGAGCCUGGGACAACUGCAUCAGCAGUCGUAGAAUCUCUCAAGUUGGAAGGGACCUAUAAAGAUCAUUGAGUCCAACUUGAUCGGUGCCUGGCUUGUAGGUACCUGAACUUCAGUGAAGUGGAUCCUACUGAGCAUGAAUGCGCCUGGCUUGAGGCUGCAGCCAGCAUCCGAGACUUGCUGCCUUUUGCCACCAAGUGCCUCCUGCCAACGAUGAGUUUUCUCUCCAGCAGAUGGCCCAGCCAGCCCGCAGGAAGCCAGCCUUUACCUUGCCAUCCCUGGCACUCCAGCUGCAGGGAAGGAUGCAGAGUGUUUAAGUUACACCUUCUUAAAGAGAAGCUGAACUGGAGCAGUGCUAUGUAGCAGCAGACUGACUUGCAACCCUAGUCAUUCUGGGCCACCAGCAUGGUGAGGCACAGACAGCAGAGGGAGGACUGGGGCAGAAGACUACUUCUAAAGUAACUUGUGAGAAAUAAAAUCGCAGCAACUGUUACCCAAUUCUCUGCUGUGUAAAAAAAAGGUGCAAGUCAGACGAUGGUGCUGCGCUGGACCUUUGCUGUUGCGUUCACAUCCACAAGGCACAACACUGGAUUCCAGGAACUCUGAUCCCAAGUGCUGGCUGAGUCUUCCCACAACAUCAGGGCUCUGGGCUUGGGUUUUGAGACUUACAUGCAUGUACUAACCCGUGCAUUGGCUCUAUUUAUGCAACAUCCCUGUCAGGUCCCAGGCACUGGAAUUUUAAGUGGCAUCACAUCAAGGCACAAGGUGAAUAUUCAAGAAAGUGUGAUGGGUCCUGAGAAGUUUAAAGAUUAGUUUUCUGUAUUUCAGUCAAAUAUCUGACUGCAACAUCAUGGCGAUGUAAAUAAAUUUCAGAUUUCACAUGUAA